UGACAUUACGUGAAAAAAAAACACAAAAAUAAGUUCAUAACCUCAAAACUAGUCUGUCGAAAAUGUUUGCAAAGAACUGUUUAAGAAUAUUAUUUUUACCGACGAAACCAUUUAUUAUACGCCAUUAUGCACAGGAGUACUCUCCAAAGGCGCUGAGGAGUUUGAAAUCGAAGUCUUCGCGUAGUACUGUGCAGUUUUAUGUUGAUCAUCAAAGAGUUAGGGCUGUAGCAGGGAAUGGGGGUGAUGGCUGCAUAUCCUUCCUCAGUGUCUGGUGUAAAGACCAAGCUGGACCCGACGGAGGCGACGGAGGUAAUGGUGGACAUGUCAUAUUCCAGGCAACUCACACAGUAAAGAGUUUGAAUCACUGCCGGGCGGUGAUACAAGCGAAGCACGGAGAACGAGGCUUCAACAAAGAUUGUAACGGGAAGAAUGCCCAGCACGUUAUUAUUCCAGUACCUUUAGGUACGAUAAUAAAGGAUGAGUCUGGCAAAGUGGUGGGUGAUCUCAGCACCGAGGGGGUGAUGUUCGUGGCGGCGCGAGGAGGGGCAGGCGGUCGCGGGAACAAGUUUUUUCUCACGGACACUGAACAGGCCCCGGAUGUGGCGGAAAUAGGUGCAAAAGGGGAAACCAACGUCUACUCCUUGGAGGUUAGGUCUAUGGCGCACAUCGGACUGAUUGGCUUUCCCAAUGCCGGCAAGAGCACGCUGCUUCGCUCCAUGACCAGGGCACGACCCAAUGUCGCACCAUAUCCGUUUACGACUCUCCGGCCGCAUAUAGGCAUGGUCCCGUAUGAUGAUUACGAACAAGUAGCUAUAGCCGACCUCCCUGGUUUGAUUCCCGGCUCGCACAAAAAUCGUGGACUUGGUAUUCAAUUCUUACAACACGUGGAGCGAUGUCGAGGGUUGAUUUACCUGCUGGAUGGAACUAACAACCCACUCCAGCAAUAUGAAAGCCUAACCUACGAACUUCACCAAUACAGCAACGCUCUAUCCCGAAGACCUAGCUGUAUUGUUGUUAAUAAAAUAGAUCUAAAAGAGGGGAAAACUGGCUUUGAAGACGUCAAAAGAGGCCUUCAAGACAUAAUUACAGCCAGAAAUGAUGAUGAAGAAACAUACGAUGAAGAAAAUUACCGUGAAGAAAGUGUCCAUGAAGAAAAAGUUAAUAAAGAAAGUAAAGAAUGCGACGUAGAAGUAAGGAAUUUUGCCAAUUUAGGUAUUCAAGUCAUAGGUAUUUCGGCUAAAACCGGUAUGAAUUUAUCAGAACUCUCAAAGGUUGUUAGACAAAUGUACGACUGCGGUGAAGAUAGAUGAAGUGAAGAAUAUACGUGUAGUAAUAAAGAGAUGAAGAAAUCUGUUUAGAAAUAAAACUAUAGGGACUUUAGGUUUAGGUUGUUGCCAACUUU
rnacentral:misc_RNA from 1 species